UACGUAGGGUGCGAGCGUUGUCCGGAAUUAUUGGGCGUAAAGAGCUCGUAGGCGGCUUGUCACGUCGAUUGUGAAAGCCCGAGGCUUAACCUCGGGUCUGCAGUCGAUACGGGCUAGCUAGAGUGUGGUAGGGGAGAUCGGAAUUCCUGGUGUAGCGGUGAAAUGCGCAGAUAUCAAGGAGGAACACCGGUGGCGAAGGGCGGGAUCUCUGGGCCGAUACUGACGCUGAGGA
rnacentral:rRNA from 1 species